rnacentral:rRNA from 1 species
GACGAACGCUGGCGGCGUGCUUAACACAUGCAAGUCGAACGGUGACCCAGGGCUUGCCCUGGUGAUCAGUGGCGAACGGGUGAGUAACACGUGGGCAACCUGCCCCUGACUUCGGGAUAACUCCUCGAAAGAGGAGCUAAUACCGGAUACGACCACUUCGGACAUCCGAUGGUGGUGGAAAGUUUUUCGGUCAGGGAUGGGCCCGCGGCCUAUCAGCUAGUUGGUGGGGUAAUGGCCUACCAAGGCGACGACGGGUAGCCGGCCUGAGAGGGCGACCGGCCACACUGGGACUGAGACACGGCCCAGACUCCUACGGGAGGCAGCAGUGGGGAAUAUUGCGCAAUGGGCGAAAGCCUGACGCAGCGACGCCGCGUGAGGGAUGAAGGCCUCGGGUUGUAAACCUCUUUCAGCAGGGACGAAGCGAAAGUGACGGUACCUGCAGAAGAAGACACCGGCUAACUACGUGCCAGCAGCCGCGGUAA